ACCUGAGAGGGUGAUCGGCCRCRUUGGGACUGAGACACGGCCCAAACUCCUACGGGAGGCAGCAGUAGGGAAUCUUCGGCAAUGGACGAAAGUCUGACCGAGCAACGCCGCGUGAGUGAAGAAGGUUUUCGGAUCGUAAAACUCUGUUGUUAGAGAAGAACAAGGAUGAGAGUAACUGUUCAUCCCUUGACGGUAUCUAACCAGAAAGCCACGGCUAACUACGUGCCAGCAGCCGCGGUAAUACGUAGGUGGCAAGCGUUGUCCGGAUUUAUUGGGCGUAAAGCGAGCGCAGGCGGUUUCUUAAGUCUGAUGUGAAAGCCCCCGGCUCAACCGGGGAGGGUCAUUGGAAACUGGGAGACUUGAGUGCAGAAGAGGAGAGUGGAAUUCCAUGUGUAGCGGUGAAAUGCGUAGAUAUAUGGAGGAACACCAGUGGCGAAGGCGGCUCUCUGGUCUGUAACUGACGCUGAGGCUCGAAAGCGUGGGAGCAAACAGGAUUAGAUACCCUGGUAGUCCACGCCGUAACGAUGAGUGCUAAGUGUUGGARGGUUUCCGCCCUUCAGUGCUGCAGCUAACGCAUUAAGCACUCCGGCUGGGGAGUACGACCGCAAGGUUGAAACUYAAAGGAAUUGACGGGGGCCCGCACAAGCGGUGGAGCAUGUGGUUUAAUUCGAAGCAACGCGAAGAACCUUACCAGGUCUUGACAUCCUUUGACCACUCUAGAGAUAGAGCUUCCCCUUCGGGGGCAAAGUGACAGGUGGUGCAUGGUUGUCGUCAGYUCGUGUCGUGAGAUGUUGGGUUAAGUCCCGCAACGAGCGCAACCCUUAUUGUUAGUUGCCAYCAUUCAGUUGGGCAYUCUASCAAGACUGCCGGUGACAAMCCGGAGGAAGGUGGGGAUGACGUCAAAUCAUCAUSCCCCUUAUGMCCUGGGCUMCMCACGUGCUMCAAUGGGAAGUACAACGAGUUGCGAAGUCGCGAGGCUAAGCUAAUCUCUUAAAGCUUCUCUCAGUUSGGAUUGCAGGCUGCAACUCSCCUSCAUGAAGCCGGAAUCGCUAGUAAUCGCGGAUCAGCACSCCGCGGUGAAWACGUUCCCGGSCCUUGUACMCACCGCCCGUCACACCAMGRGAGUUUGUAMCACCCGAAGUU
rnacentral:rRNA from 1 species